rnacentral:rRNA from 1 species
UGAGUAACCUGCCCUUAACUCUGGGAUAAGCCUGGGGAACUGGGUCUAAUACCGGAUAUGACUCCUCAUCGCAUGGUGGGGGGUGGAAAGCUUUAUUGUGGUUUUGGAUGGACUCGCGGCCUAUCAGCUUGUUGGUGAGGUAAUGGCUCACCAAGGCGACGACGGGUAGCCGGCCUGAGAGGGUGACCGGCCACACUGGGACUGAGACACGGCCCAGACUCCUACGGGAGCAG